rnacentral:tRNA from 7 species
GGGUGCGUAGCUCAGUGGGAGAGCGCCUGCCUUACAAGCAGGAGGUCGUAGGUUCAAGUCCUGCCGCACCCACCA